GACGAACGCUGGCGGCGUGCCUAAUACAUGCAAGUUGAGCGAUGAAGCUUGGUGCUUGCACCAAUUUGAAGAGCAGCGAACGGGUGAGUAACGCGUGGGGAAUCUGCCUUUGAGCGGGGGACAACAUUUGGAAACGAAUGCUAAUACCGCAUAAUAACUUUAAACAUAAGUUUUAAGUUUGAAAGAUGCAAUUCCAUCACUCAAAGAUGAUCCCGCGUUGUAUUAGCUAGUUGGUGAGGUAAAGGCUCACCAAGGCGAUGAUACAUAGCCGACCUGAGAGGGGGAUCGGCCACAUUGGGACUGAGACACGGCCCAAACUCCUACGGGAGGCAGCAGUAGGGAAUCUUCGGCAAUGGACGAAAGUCUGACCGAGAAACGCCGCGUGAGUGAAGAAGGUUGUCGGAUCGUAAAAAUCUGUUGGUAGAGAAGAACGUUGGUGAGAGUGGAAAGCUCAUAAAGUGACGGUAACUACCCAGAAAGGGACGGCUAACUACGUG
rnacentral:rRNA from 1 species